AGUGGGGAAUCUUGCGCAAUGGGCGAAAGCCUGACGCAGCCAUGCCGCGUGGAUGAUGAAGGUCUUAGGAUUGUAAAAUCCUUUCAGCGGGGACGAUAAUGACGGUACCCGCAGAAGAAGCCCCGGCUAACUUCGUGCCAGCAGCCGCGGUAAUACGAAGGGGGCUAGCGUUGCUCGGAAUUACUGGGCGUAAAGGGCGCGUAGGCGGACAGUUAAGUCGGGGGUGAAAGCCCGGGGCUCAACCUCGGAAUUGCCUUCGAUACUGGCUGUCUUGAGUACGGGAGAGGUGUGUGGAACUCCGAGUGUAGAGGUGAAAUUCGUAGAUAUUCGGAAGAACACCAGUGGCGAAGGCGACACACUGGCCCGUUACUGACGCUGAGGCGCGAAAGCGUGGGGAGCAAA
rnacentral:rRNA from 1 species